CCUACGGGAGGCAGCAGUGAGGAAUAUUGGUCAAUGGGCGAGAGCCUGACCCAGCCAAGUCGCGUGAAGGAUGAAGGUUCUCUGGUUUGUAAACUUCUUUUAUAUGGGAAUAAAGUCAGGCUCGUGUUCCUUAUUGUAUUUACGUUAUGAAUAAGCAUCGGCUAACUCCGUGCCAGCAGCCGCGGUAAUACGGAGGAUGCGAGCGUUAUCCGGAUUUAUUGGGUUUAAAGGGUGCGUAGGGGGGUUGUUAAGUCAGGGGUGAAAGUUUGUGGCUCAACCAUAAAAGUGCCGUUGAAACUGGCUGACUUGAGUAUGUGAGAGGAUAGCGGAAUGCGGGGUGUAGCGGUGAAAUGCGUAGAUAUCACGCAGAACACCGAUUGCGAAGGCAGCUUACUGAACUAUAACUGACACUGAGGCACGAAAGCGUGGGUAUCAAACAGGAUUAGAUACCCGAGUAGUC
rnacentral:rRNA from 1 species